rnacentral:rRNA from 1 species
CCUACGGGUGGCAGCAGUGAGGAAUAUUGGUCAAUGGGCGGAAGCCUGAACCAGCAAAGUCGCGUGAGGGAAUAAGGUUCUACGGGUCGUAAACCCUUUUUGCCGGGGAGCAAGGGCGGGGACGUGUCCAGGCCCGGAGAGUACCCGGAGAAAAAGCAUCGGCUAACUACGGGCCAGCAGCCGCGGUAAUAUGGAGGAUGCGAGCGUUAUCCGGAUUUAUUGGGUUAAAAGGGUGCGUAGGCGGGCUUUUAAGUCAGCGGUAAAAAUUCGGGGCUCAACCCCGUCCGGCCGUUGAAACUGGUGGCCUUGAGUGGGCGAGAGGAAGGCGGAAUGCGUGGUGUAGCGGUGAAAUGCGUAGAUAUCACGCGGAACCCCGAUUGCGAAGGCGGCCUUCCGGCGCCCUACUGACGCUGAGGCACGAAAGUGCGGGGAUCGAACAGGAUUAGAUACCCUUGUAGUC